UGUGCAACUGGCUGUUUGUCCAAACUCUGCUCUGUCUACAUAAAGACUUGGAUGGGACGGCUCUUAGCCCAAAUGCACCACGUAGUCACCCUCGUGAACACGGCAGCACUACUGGACUUAAAUUUACAAAGGUACAAGGAGCUGAGAGCAGAGGGCAGACGGACGCCCACUGCAGCACAUUAAUGAAUAUAUCGAUAGAAGGCAUCGAAACAAAAGGUCGUCCAUCCCUCCGACAACCUCCAUCUGCACACCUGCAGCAAAGUUUGUCCUCCAGAGCUGUGGAGUGUGACAAUGGUGUUUGUUUCCUCUCUAUCAAACGCCAUUAUCACACUAAAUAGCUACAGUGCGGAAAGGACCUCAGUGCACUCGCUUCAAGUCGGGGUUUGUGCAGUUGAUUUAUUUUGUCCUAAAUGUUUUGCGCUCUUCAGCUUCUGUACUUUCCAUUCUUAAUGUCGCGGCAGAGGAUGAACACGUGUGGCCGUGUGUCAGAGGUGGUGACAGCGCGGGACAUGUUGCACCGCCGCAGGGAUGGAAAUAGACAUAAAAUGGGUUGAAACAUGA